UACGUAGGGCGCAAGCGUUAUCCGGAAUUAUUGGGCGUAAAGCGCUCGUAGGCGGUUUGUCGCGUCUGCCGUGAAAGUCCGGGGCUCAACUCCGGAUCUGCGGUGGGUACGGGCAGACUAGAGUGAUGUAGGGGAGACUGGAAUUCCUGGUGUAGCGGUGAAAUGCGCAGAUAUCAGGAGGAACACCGAUGGCGAAGGCGGGUCUCUGGGCAUGAACUGACGCUGAGGAGCGAAAGCAUGGGGAGCGAACAGG
rnacentral:rRNA from 1 species